rnacentral:rRNA from 1 species
ACGCGGUGAAUACGUUCCCGGGCCUUGUACACACCGCCCGUCAAGCCAUGGAAGCCGGGUGUACCUAAAGUCGGUAACCGUAAGGAGCCGCCUAGGGUAAAACUAGUGACUGGGGCU